AUGGAGGAAAUUAAUGUCGAAUCUGCAAACAAGACGUCUAUUAAAAAACACACAGGUCCAAGGAGAUGCAAGAGAAGCAUUUAUUUAGUUGUUAUUCUCUCGUUGGGGCUGCUGGCUGGACUUCUCACUCGUGCUUUCUGCUGGAGUAACGAACUUUCUUCUAUGACUGAGGAGAGAGACCUGCUGAAGGCCAACCUCACUGAAAUGACCAAAGAGCUGGAGAGGCUGCAGCGUUUGUGCAACCAGAAGACAACAUGUCCUGCAGGAUGGCAAAAGUUCAGUUGUAGCUGUUAUCUCCUCUCUGAAAGAUCUGGUUCCUGGCAUUCAGCUAGAAAACACUGUACAGACCAAGGAGCAGAUUUGGUGGUCAUAGACAGCCCUAAUGAACAGAACUUCAUCGUUUCAAUUACCCAGUAUAAAACUUGGAUUGGUUUAAGUGACAUAGAACAAGAGGGAACGUGGAAAUGGGUAGAUGGAACGCCUCUGACUCUGAAGUAA